GCUGGGCGUGGUGGCGCACGCCUGUAGUCCCAGCUACUCGGGAGGCUGAGGCAGGGGAAUCGCUUGAAGCUGGGAGACAGAGGUUGCAGUGAGCCGAGACUGCGUCACUGCACUCUGGCCUAGCGACAGAGUGAGACUCUGUCUCAA
rfam:Homo sapiens chromosome 14, GRCh38 reference primary assembly.